rnacentral:rRNA from 1 species
CCCUUAGAUGUUCUGGGCCGCACGCGCGCUACACUGAUGCAUUCAACGAGUCUAAAACCUGCUCUGAUAGGGGUGGGUAAUCUUUUGAAUGUGCAUCGUGAUUGGGAUAGAUGAUUGCAAUUUUUCAUCUUCAACGAGGAAUGCCUAGUAAACGCAAGUCAUCAGCUUGCAUUGAUUACGUCCCUGCCCUUUGUACACACCGCCCGUCGCUCCUACCGAUUGAAUGAUCCGAUGAAUAUCAUGGAUUGAGGAUGCAAGUAGGUUCGCCUAUCAUCAUCUUCGAGAAGUGAAGUAAAUCUUAUCAUUUAGAGGAAGGAGAAGUCGUAACA